GCCUACGGGGGGCAGCAGUGGGGGAUAUUCCACAAUGGGCGAAAGCCUGAUGGAGCAACGCCGCGUGGGUGAAGAAGGUCUUCGGAUCGUAAAACCCUGUUGUUAGAGAAGAAAGUGCGUGAGAGUAACUGUUCACGUUUCGACGGUAUCUAACCAGAAAGCCACGGCUAACUACGUGCCAGCAGCCGCGGUAAUACGUAGGUGGCAAGCGUUAUCCGGAUUUAUUGGGCGUAAAGGGAACGCAGGCGGUCUUUUAAGUCUGAUGUGAAAGCCUUCGGAUUAACCGGAGUAGUGCAUUGGAAACU
rnacentral:rRNA from 1 species